UCGGGAAUAUUGGACAAUGGGCGCAAGCCUGAUCCAGCCAUGCCGCGUGAGUGAAGAAGGCCUUCGGGUUGUAAAGCUCUUUCAGCCGGAAAGAAAACGGACAGGAUAAUACCCUGUGUGGAUGACGGUACCGGAAGAAGAAGCACCGGCUAACUACGUGCCAGCAGCCGCGGUAAUACGUAGGGUGCGAGCGUUAAUCGGAAUUACUGGGCGUAAAGCGUGCGCAGGCGGUUUUGUAAGACAGACGUGAAAUCCCCGGGCUUAACCUGGGAACUGCGUUUGUGACUGCAAGGCUAGAGUACGGCAGAGGGGGGUAGAAUUCCACGUGUAGCAGUGAAAUGCGUAGAUAUGUGGAGGAAUACCGAUGGCGAAGGCAGCCCCCUGGGUCGAUACUGACGCUCAUGCACGAAAGCGUGGGGAGCAAACAGGAUUAGAUACCCUGGUAGUCCCUGAGCGGGCUGGCAAGGCGCAU
rnacentral:rRNA from 1 species